GGAGGGUUAGCUCAGGGGGGUAGAGCGUGUGCUUAGUGCACACGAAGUCCUGGGUUCAAUCCCCCAGCACCUCCG
rnacentral:tRNA from 1 species